UACACAUCCAGCUCCAGAGCAAACAAGCGAAUAGUGUGUCCGUCCCCAGCGGCGCCGUUCCACACACGAGAGACUAGAGACAUCUCAUGUCCUGUCAUGGUCGGCCCCAGAGACACAUGCAGGAUGGCUGGAGUCCAGGCGUCCAGAGAGCGCGUCUGUCCUACAGUAUCGCACGUCACAGUAGCCCGCUUUCACUACUGCAGAACCAGCAGCUGCACUUACAGACUCUCGACCAGCUCUGGGAAUAAUAACCCAAGUCAUUAGCAAAGGACAAAGAGUCAGAGAUCAUGAACUAUGACUGCCAGUUUUAAAUAGCCCGUGUGUGUGUGAGAGUGUGCGAGUGAGUGAGUGAGUGAGUGUGUGUGUGUGAGAGAGAGAAGGACAGAGAGUGGGUGUGCACGUUCAUGAUCUUUGCCUAUAGACACCAGUAUGCUGAAACAGAUUUCCAUUUUCUCUCCGGCAAUUCCAUCACCAGUGCGCCAACCGACGAUUCCGUACAGUGGAAUGUGUGUGUGGGCGUGUGUGUUGCAUGUGUGGUUGCCGGAUUUUGAUCUCUCAGCUUGUAAACAAAAGCACAUGGAUAAGUGUCCACACGAGGGAGUUCUACGGGCAAGAAAAUAAAAAAGAGGUGCGCUUAAUAAAAGGAGCGAUUAAAAAUAAAAGGAAGCGCACAAACAAAAAAGAGCAUGAACAAAAAAAAACUGACACACACCGUAGAGUUCAUACUGUGACUUGUAUAAAUUUUUUUUUUCGAUUCUGCUAAACUACAAGCAUGAUUUCUGCUUUACACUAAAUAAAGUUCUAAAACACACUUUUUUCA
ensembl:lncRNA